UACGGAGGGUGCAAGCGUUAAUCGGAAUUACUGGGCGUAAAGCGCGCGCAGGCGGCUAUCCAAGUCAGUGGUGAAAGCCCGGAGCUCAACUCCGGAACUGCCAUUGAAACUGUUUAGCUUGAGGACGAGAGAGGUGAGUGGAAUUCCCAGUGUAGAGGUGAAAUUCGUAGAUAUUGGGAAGAACACCGGUGGCGAAGGCGGCUCACUGGCUCGUUUCUGACGCUCAGGCGCGAUAGCGUGGGGAUCAAACAGG
rnacentral:rRNA from 1 species